rnacentral:misc_RNA from 1 species
GUGAAUUUUGGGCGUCUCUUUACUGAGAGUCCGUCUUACACUCUUUACCCUGUGAACUCGUCAUCCGGGCUUAGCUGCCCAGAUGUAAAACCUUUUACCUUUUUUUAACGCAAGUUGAUGAAUGUAAACACUAUAACAAAACA